rnacentral:lncRNA from 1 species
UGGCGGCUGGAGCAGAAAGCUGGGGGAAGGCCGCCCCGGGGAAGGCGGAGCUCACUUACAUCUACGGGGGCGUCCGCCAUUGGGAGCGUGCCAGAUCAGCGAGGAGCACCGCCGGCCGAACAUACGUCGAGAGCAACCAAGAAGGGCACAUCAGCAGAGACUGUCCCACUGCUGACUCCGGAGGACAGCGAGGAUGCCAUCAGGUGU